rnacentral:rRNA from 1 species
GACAGAGGUGCCAAGCGUUAGGCGGAAUCACUGGGCUUAAAGCGUGUGUAGGCGGAUGUCUAAGUACCUUGUGAAAUCCCACGGCUCAACCGUGGAACUGCUUGGUAUACUGGAUGUCUUGAGCCAUCUAGGGGGCUACCGGAACAAAUGGUGGAGCGGUGAAAUGCGUAGAUAUCAUUUGGAACGCCAAUGGUGAAAACAGGUAGCUGGGGAUGUGCUGACGCUGAGACACGAAAGCCAGGGGGAGCAAACGGGG